rnacentral:lncRNA from 1 species
UUUAAUCCUUUUUUUAAAUUGAUUUUUAAUUGAUUAAAUGUUUAAAAAUAUUAUUGAGCCAUUUUUAUGGUCUUGUGAUGUUUGACUUUCUGUUUGGGCCUUGGUCAUUGUUGAUUUGACUUUUGUUGAAUCAAAACCAUUGGAUUUAGGGGAUUGAUGAAAUGUACAUUUCAUCUCCCAAAAUGAAUGAAUGGUUUUGAUUUGAUGAAAUUCCUCUCAUGAUCAAUUUGUGUUUCUACCUUCC